rnacentral:rRNA from 1 species
UACGUAGGCAGCAAGCGUUGUUCGGAAUUACUGGGCGUAAAGAGUGUGUAGGCGGUGCUCUAAGUUCGGUGUGAAAUCUCCCGGCUUAACUGGGAGGGUGCGCCGGAAACUGGAGUGCUUGAGCGCGGGAGAGGAAAGCGGAAUUCCUGGUGUAGCGGUGAAAUGCGUAGAUAUCAGGAGGAACACCGGUGCGAAGGCGGUUCUCUGGGCCUGUACUGACGCUGAGGAGCGAAAGCGUGGGGAGCGAACAGG